GUAGGUGGUGUAUAAUAAACGUACAUCAAACAGAAUAAGAUACAAAUGAUACAAAUAAAUUGUAUACAAUAACUUAACUAAAUACAAUAAACUUUAUUG